AUGGAGACAUACCAUUGUGAUGCUUUUGACUACUGGGGUAAAGGGACACAAGUCACCGUCUCAGCAGCAGCCACAGCCCCCCCUACUCUACUCAUUCUUAUGAACUGUGGAACCCCUUCUAACGACAUCUACAGCAUUGGUUGUGUCGCUAAAGGCUUUUCACCUUCCUCACUCACCUUCAAAUGGACAGACGACAGCGGGAGUGCGCUGACGGACUUUGUCCAAUACCCAGCAGUCCAGAGCGGGGAAACCUACACAGGAGUCAGUCAGCUUAGCGUGAAAAAGAAUGUCUGGGGAAAGUCAACGUCUUUCAGUUGUUCUGUGGAACAUGCUGGAGUUAUAAAGACAGCAGUCAUCAAUAAACCAGUCCCUAAGCUUCCAUCAGUGUCUUUGCUGUCUGCGCCCAUUGGCACCACCCAGUACUUGAUGUGUAUGAUUGAAGAUUUCGCCCCCAAUAAAGUCACUGUCAUCUGGAAGAAUAAUGAUAAGGAGGUGAAGGGCCCGACCCCUACUGUAGGCCUACAGCCAUCAGGCCUCUACUCAGCCAGCAGUCUGCUGAAGGUCAACAACACUGAUUGGCGCAACAAGGUCAAGUACAGCUGUGUGGUGGAGCACCAGGGACAACCCACCAUCAAGACAAUCUCUAAAACAGAACCACUGACGGUGACUCUGAACCCACCGAGUGUGAAAAAUGUGUUCAUGGACAACCAAGCAGUGCUGGACUGUGUCAUCUGUGGUACAGAACAGAACACAGUGGCUGGUACCACUAUCACCUGGCACGUCAACAGACAGAAACAGACGGAUCACAUCGAUCUGAAACCUAUUGAAUCAAAGGGCAACCUGAACAGCAGGGUCAGUACUCUGACCAUAGACCAGACAAGGUGGACCAAUGUGAACAAAGUCCAGUGUUCUGCCAUGAAGAGUGGUGAAGACACACCGGUCAUUCAGGACAUCAGCUUCACCAAAGGAAGUGAAGCCCCUUCAGUGUCCAUCCACCUUCUCCCGGAGGAAGACACCAAGAAGGAGGGGGAUGUGACUCUGGUGUGCCUGGUGGUCAGCCCGUCUCUCUGUGACGUCUACAUCAUGUGGAAGGAGGACAGCAGCGAGUACCAGGAUGGGGUCACCAGCCCUCCUCAGAAAACCCUGGAAGGCAACUACUCUGUCACCAGUGUCUUCACCGUCAAAACAAAUAAGUGGGAGGGAAACUCGGUUUUCACAUGUGCCAUCAAGCACAGCUUGGACAACAACACAGCACUGCAGGAGAGGAGUGUGUCAAAGUCCAUGGCGAACAUCCUACUGACUGAGCCUGAGGCGGGCUUUGCUCUGAGCUGCACGGACAACGUUGAGGAUGAUAUCAGCAGCCUGUGGUCCACCACCUCCUCCUUUAUCAUCCUCUUUCUUCUCUCCCUCACCUACAGCACAGUACUCAGCCUGGUCAAGGUACUGACACCACUUAUUUUACGUGAUUGUAGACUUCUGAUGAAGGCCAUUGGCAGCUGA